rnacentral:tRNA from 1 species
AAAUAAGAAGCAAUUCCCAUGCAUUUAAUUUCGACUUAAAAGACAGAGUAAAAAAUACUCCUUAUUUA